GACCUCACGUUAUUCGAGCGGCCGACGUCUGAUUAGCUAGUUGGUGGGGUAAUGGCCUACCAAGGCGACGAUCAGUAGCGGGUCUGAGAGGAUGAUCCGCCACACUGGAACUGAGACACGGUCCAGACUCCUACGGGAGGCAGCAGUGGGGAAUUUUGGACAAUGGGGGCAACCCUGAUCCAGCCAUUCCGCGUGAGUGAAGAAGGCCUUCGGGUUGUAAAGCUCUUUCAGCUGGAACGAAACGGUGCGCUCUAACAUAGCGUGCUAAUGACGGUACCAGCAGAAGAAGCACCGGCUAACUACGUGCCCNGCAGCCGCGGUAAUACGUAGGGUGCGAGCGUUAAUCGGAAUUACUGGGCGUAAAGCGUGCGCAGGCGGAUUGUUAAGCAAGAUGUGAAAUCCCCGGGGCUUAACCUGGGAAUGGCAUUUUGAACUGGCAGUCUAGAGUGCGUCAGAGGGGGGUGGAAUUCCACGUGUAGCAGUGAAAUGCGUAGAGAUGUGGAGGAACACCAAUGGCGAAGGCAGNCCCCUGGGAUGACACUGACGCUCAUGUACGAAAGCGUGGGUAGCAAACAGGAUUAGAUACCCUGGUAGUCCACGCCCUAAACGAUGUCAACUGGUUGUUGGGGGAGUGAAAUCCCUUAGUAACGAAGCUAACGCGUGAAGUUGACCGCCUGGGGAGUACGGUCGCAAGAUUAAAACUCAAAGGAAUUGACGGGGACCCGCACAAGCGGUGGAUUAUGUGGAUUAAUUCGAUGCAACGCGAAAAACCUUACCUACCCUUGACAUGCUUGGAAUCUAAUGGAGACAUAAGAGUGCCCGAAAGGGAGCCAAGACACAGGUGCUGCAUGGCUGUCGUCAGCUCGUGUCGUGAGAUGUUGGGUUAAGUCCCGCAACGAGCGCAACCCUUGUCACUAAUUGCUAUCAUUUUUAAUGAGCACUUUAGUGAGACUGCCGGUGACAAACCGGAGGAAGGUGGGGAUGACGUCAAGUCCUCAUGGCCCUUAUGGGUAGGGCUUCACACGUAAUACAAUGGCGUGUACAGAGGGUUGCCAACCCGCGAGGGGGAGCCAAUCUCAGAAAGCACGUCGUAGUCCGGAUCGGAGUCUGCAACUCGACUCCGUGAAGUCGGAAUCGCUAGUAAUCGCGGAUCAGCAUGCCGCGGUGAAUACGUUCCCGGGUCUU
rnacentral:rRNA from 1 species